GGGGGGAACCCUGAUCCAGCCAUGCCGCGUGUGUGAAGAAGGCCUUUUGGUUGUAAAGCACUUUAAGCGAGGAGGAGGCUACUGGUAUUAAUACUACCGGAUAGUGGACGUUACUCGCAGAAUAAGCACCGGCUAACUCUGUGCCAGCAGCCGCGGUAAUACAGAGGGUGCGAGCGUUAAUCGGAUUUACUGGGCGUAAAGCGUACGUAGGCGGCUUUUUAAGUCGGAUGUGAAAUCCCUGAGCUUAACUUAGGAAUUGCAUUCGAUACUGGGAAGCUAGAGUAUGGGAGAGGAUGGUAGAAUUCCAGGUGUAGCGGUGAAAUGCGUAGAGAUCUGGAGGAAUACCGAUGGCGAAGGCAGCCAUCUGGCCUAAUACUGACGCUGAGGUACGAAAGCAUGGGGAGCAAACAGGAUUAGAUACCCUGGUAGUCCAUGCCGUAAACGAUGUCUACUAGCCGUUGGGACCUUUGAGGCUUUAGUGGCGCAGCUAACGCGAUAAGUAGACCGCCUGGGGAG
rnacentral:rRNA from 1 species